UCCAGUGUGGUGUAGUGGUUUAUGUCAGACAAGGACUCUGGAGACCAGGGUUCAAAUCCCUGCUCAGCCA